UUCUUUUUUUUUUUCUUUUCUUUUAAGUUGAGGGCUAUUGAAUUGGAAUUUGUUGAUGGGAUAUGAAUUUGACCCUUCUGGUUUUUAAUUUUCUUGGAAAGUUAAGAUUCCAUGUUGAUAGAUAAGGAUAUAGAGUUCGCAAUUUCUAGUUGUUUACUGAUUGUGAAUUUUUCUAUGCAUGCAUUCUGGCUUUCUAAGUUGAUGUUACAUGCCAAUAGUGGAGUACAAUUUGAGCAACUAGAUUUGUAAUGGGCUUAUAGGGAAUUUCUCUGUGACAUUAUCAGUAUGGGAAAUUACUUACUUGCUCAAUUUUCGACAGGACUAUUAGGCAAAUAGAGUUCCUUUCAUUUGAGUCUUAUAACUUCCAUAUGGGUUGGGCACUUUUCUUUUUAGGAUGUGAUUUAACUUUAUAUCAUAUUUUUAUCCUAUAUUGGGAACAUGUAAAUGGGUAUCUUUUUCUUCGGACAGUGUACAUGAGCUUAGCUUUUGAAAUAUCGUGUUCAUUUAUUGUCAUGUAUUAAAACUUAGAUAUUGGUUUUAGGAAGUUGAUCAAGAGUUCCAAUGUUGGAAAUUAUAAUCCAGGA
rnacentral:misc_RNA from 1 species